GUGCUUCCUUUGGCAGCACAUACACUAAAAUCAGAACAAUACAGAGAUUAGCAUGGUCCCUGCACUAGGAUGAUACACAAAUUUGUAAAACAUACCAUUAAAAA
ensembl:snRNA U6 U6 spliceosomal RNA